UAAGAAAGAAAAGUCAUCGGAGGACCCGUCCGGCUGCCACUCCAGCCCCAGCAGCCACCCCUGGUCACCAGGCCCGCACCUCCGACCCCCUCCUCACUCAGGCCUUAGAAGGAAAGAGCUGCUGCUUCUACAACGAGGAUGCAAGACCUGGGCGGGACCCCCGGCAUUCCGGCUUCGCCGUCCUUCUUUCCACCUCCAAGGGCAGAGCCACAAAAGGAACUUUCUGAGCAGAGCCCAAAGAGGUCCCUGAGGUCCCUGGAGCCUCCAAUGGGCCCCCAGAGUCAGGGCAGAGGUGGCAGAUUUGGGAUGAUGAGCGCGUCUGACUCUGAUAACCAGGGAAAAGUGGAAAAUGAAAUGGAAGUGGCCAGCAGUCAACAAUCCAUCAGUUUCCUCAACUGCUCUUUUAAACACGGGUGACCACACAGCCCAGAAACUCCCUUCCAGGGACUACCCGAGAGAUUGAAGGCAGGCCCCACAGAGACGCGCCCAGCUCCUGCUCCUCAAACUGCUCCGUUAAACACGGGGUGACCACACAGCCCCGAGAGAAUGAAGGCAGGCCCCACAGAGACACGCCCAGCUCACGGUCACAGCAGCAUCAUUUACAGCAGCCAAAAGGUGGAAACAGCCCAGGUGUCCUCCGGCAGACGGGUGGAUUAACAAGCGGUCUAACUGCGCCAUGGGGUAUAAUUUAGGCUUAAAAAGGACGCAGCGCUGACACACGGGAAAACACGGCGAGCCUGGGAGCGUCAGGCCGAGGGCAAGAAGCCAGGCACAAAGACCACGUUAUGGGAUUCCAUUCACAGGCAGAGCCUAGAACAGAGACACCUGUAGGGACGGAUAGUAGAUUCAAGGUUGCCAGGGCUGGCGUGGGGGGCUGGGGAGGUGACUGAGGACAUAGGCUUUCUUUUUUUUUGAGAUGGAGUCUUGCUCUGUCACCCAGGCUGGAGUGCAGUGGUGUAAUCUGGGCUCAUUGCAACCUCUGCUUCCCAUGUUCAAGCGAUUCUCCUGCCUCAGCCUCCUGAGUAGCCGGGAUUACAGGCACCUGCCACCACACCUG
rnacentral:lncRNA from 10 species